UUCCCUGCGGCACAGCAUUGGCCAUAAACCAACGCUUCACCGAGUCUGCAUCGUUUACAGCUGGGACUACCCGGGUAUCUAAUCCGGUUUGCUCCCCCAGCUUUCAUCCCUCACUGUCGAACGUGUUCUGGCAGACCGCCUUCGCCACUGGUGGUCUUCAAAGGAUCAGAGGAUUUUACCCCUACCCCUCGAAUACCGUCUGCCUCUCCCACUCCCUAGUCUUGUAGUAUCUCCAGCGGCCCAUCUGUUGAGCAGGUGGAUUUAACCGGAGACUUGCAAGACCAGCUACGGAUGCUUUAGGCCCAAUAAUCGUCCUGACCACUCGA
rnacentral:rRNA from 1 species